AGGGCUUUCUAAGAAAAUAUCAACUUAAGCAAAAGUUAUUAAUUCUUCAAGAACAUACAGAGCACAAGUAGAUCAGGGCCGAUACAAACAUUAGUUUCAACAUAUAAGGCUAAUGAAUCAAGCAAUAGGAUAUCAGCCGACCACUGAUAAUGAACCAGAAGUUUACUCGACUACGUUUGAAACUACUGAAAUUAAACUGAGAGUCCAAGUUUAUGAUUACAACAAAAUACAUGACAUUCACUGAAAUUAUAUCAAGUUUAGCUAACUGUAAACAAAUUAGUUGACAAAUAUUAAACUAUGACAAGAAUACCAAGAUCAAGCUUUGAAUGAGGUUAAGAUUUAGACAUUGGAACACCAUUUUCAUUUAAUAACCAACAUUUCCACUCCAACGUUCCGAAAAUGUACCUGGAUACAACCAAAACAGCCUCAGAAUUUUAAGAGAAGAAGGUGAGAUCAGCAGUAGCUUAUCAGAAGUAGUUAACACGGCAACAACCAACUUUUAAACAAUUUUGAAUCCAAAAUGAUAUAGAAAUCCCUUGAAGGUUUCAAAGCUAAGAAGAUUAAAAGUAGAACUAGGCCAAUUUCUCCCAAAAAUACAAGAGAUUUUCAGUCUUUUUCAACUCAGUCGUUUUAUCAGUUUUCAGUAUUGUAAUCUCUAAAAAAUACCUUGACAAAGAAGGAAAAUAGGCCUCUUAUAGAGGGCCUCUAGGGCAGCAGAAUUGGUUCUAUUAUUUACCAAAUACCCCUUCCCCCAAUUUUCAUUCUUUCAUUUUAAAUCCUGAAUUUCUAAACCAAUUUCUCAAACUACCCGACCCUCUCUUUCCUGGAACCUUCCCAUUCAAUUUUUUUUAAAGAUUCUCUCACUUAAAUUCCGCCAAAUACACUUUAACUCCUUGGCAUUUACCAUCAAACCAAAUGUGGUUCAAGUUGACCCAACAAACAAAACACAAACCUUGGGCUUUCCAAACCCGGACAGACCCUCCUCCCUUUGGGCUUUGGCAUUCAGCAAACCCAAAUUCAAACUUAAACGAAUGGAUCCACAAGUACAAAUAAGAAAAAAAGAACAAUCUAACUCUGAACUUUAAUAACAUGAAAUCUUUUUUUUUUCAACGAAGCAAACUAAGAAUAUUAAGAGAAAAAGAAAAUCAACAGAUGUUUACCAAAGAAAUUAAUCUAACCUUAUAAACCAAAUGUGAUUUCAAUCCUAAUCAUGCAACAAAGCAAUUUAAAAAAAAAGAAACAAGAAAGAGACAGAGAAGAUCAGAAAAAGACGAGGACCAGAAUAAACAAAGACGAAAACGAAGAAAGAUCUGAAAUACCUAGAAUAAACAGGCAAAAAAUGGGCUUGAACGGACUUCAACACCUUCGAUUUUGAGCUGAAAUUGGCCUUAAUCGUAUGUUCUUGUCAAGAACAGAAGAACAAAGCCAGUUUCGACCCUUAAUCAUUCAUUGAAAGUUGGACAAGUUUGGGAGAUUUUCUUUUCUUCUGCUUUCCUUUUAGAUCCGAAAUUGGUUAGAUUUGAUAAGGAUUUGAGGAGAUGUGAUGAUGGAUUGGGAGUCAGGGAUGAGUGGUGGUUGUAUGGUCGAAGUUUGGGGUUGAUUGGAGUCCUGUUGUUGGUGAAAAAUGGUGGAAUUUGAAGGCGGCGUUUAGGGUUCAAACGAAGAAGAUGAGAGAGACUGAAGAUGGGUGUUUGGACUAGGUUGUUUGGGGUGUUUGGACACUUAUAUGAGAAGCUGAUGACUAGUUCAGGGCUGUCUGAUCAAAUGAAAUCGACGGCUACGAUGAAAAGGGUUGAAAGUUGGGUCGUUUGGUUAGAUAGGGGGUUGGACCGGGUUAGGGGCAUGAUUUGGGCUGGAUUCGGAACGGGUUUGGGGGAAAUUGGAUUGGGCCUGGGAAAAUUCAAUUGGAAUAACCCAAAAAUCAGCCUUUCUUUGGACUCUUUUCCCUUUCUUUUCAAUUUCCAAUUUUCCUUUUCUUUUCAAAUUAAAUUAAGACCUAAAAAC
rnacentral:lncRNA from 1 species